rnacentral:tRNA from 1 species
GGAGGAGUGGACGAGUUGCUAAAGUCACCAGUCCCGAAAACUGGCGUGAGUCCGUAAGGGCCACCGAGGGUUGAAUUCCCUCCUCCUCCGCCA